AUUUCCCUCUUUCUUUAGGCCUAACACAUGCAAGUCGAACGGCAGCACAGUAAGAGCUUGCUCUUACGGGUGGCGAGUGGCGGACGGGUGAGGAAUACAUCGGAAUCUACUUUUUCGUGGGGGAUAACGUAGGGAAACUUACGCUAAUACCGCAUACGACCUACGGGUGAAAGCAGGGGAUCUUCGGACCUUGCGCGAUUGAAUGAGCCGAUGUCGGAUUAGCUAGUUGGCGGGGUAAAGGCCCACCAAGGCGACGAUCCGUAGCUGGUCUGAGAGGAUGAUCAGCCACGCUGGAACUGAGACACGGUCCAGACUCCUACGGGAGGCAGCAGUGGGGAAUAUUGGACAAUGGGCGCAAGCCUGAUCCAGCCAUACCGCGUGGGUGAAGAAGGCCUUCGGGUUGUAAAGCCCUUUUGUUGGGAAAGAAAAGCAGCAGGUUAAUACCCCGCUGUUCUGACGGUACCCAAAGAAUAAGCACCGGCUAACUUCGUG
rnacentral:rRNA from 1 species